rnacentral:misc_RNA from 1 species
GAAAUGCGAUAAGUAAUGUGAAUUGCAGAAUUCAGUGAAUCAUCGAAUCUUUGAACGCACAUUGCGCCCGCCAAUAUUCUGGCGGGCAUGCCUGUUCGAGCGUCAUUUCAACCAUCAAGCCCCCGGCUUGUGUUGGGGACCUGCGGCUGCCCGCAGGCCCUGAAAAACAGUGGCGGGCUCGCUGUCACACCGAGCGUAGUAGCAUACAUUCUCGCUCAGGGCGUGCUGCGGGUUCCGGCAGUUAAACGACCUUCAUAACCCAAGGUUGACCUCGGAUCAGGUAGGAAGACCCGCUGAACUUAAGC